CAUUGUCUGGUGAAUAUUCCUCA
rnacentral:siRNA from 1 species